rnacentral:rRNA from 1 species
ACGAACGCUGGCGGCGUGCCUAAUACAUGCAAGUAGAACGCUGAAGGAGGAGCUUGCUUCUCUGGAUGAGUUGCGAACGGGUGAGUAACGCGUAGGUAACCUGCCUGGUAGCGGGGGAUAACUAUUGGAAACGAUAGCUAAUACCGCAUAAGAGUAGAUGUUGCAUGACAUUUGCUUAAAAGGUGCAAUUGCAUCACUACCAGAUGGACCUGCGUUGUAUUAGCUAGUUGGUGGGGUAACGGCUCACCAAGGCGACGAUACAUAGCCGACCUGAGAGGGUGAUCGGCCACACUGGGACUGAGACACGGCCCAGACUCCUACGGGAGGCAGCAGUAGGGAAUCUUCGGCAAUGGACGGAAGUCUGAACGAGCAACGCCGCGUGAGUGAAGAAGGUUUUCGGAUCGUAAAGCUCUGUUGUAAGAGAAGAACGAGUGUGAGAGUGGAAAGUUCACACUGUGACGGUAUCUUACCAGAAAGGGACGGCUAACUACGUG